AAUCCGUGACGCUGACAUUUCUAAACCAAUGUUUUAAAAUGUUCCCAAGCCUGAUAGAAAAUUUCUCCAUCCAUCUGUCUAAAGACAAGAAUCUCUCUUCUGAUCU
rfam:Gossypium raimondii chromosome 13, whole genome shotgun sequence.